rnacentral:tRNA from 1 species
GGGGUUGUAGCUCAGUGGUGGAGCACUUGCCUAGCCAUGUACAAGAGGCCCUGGGUUUGAUCCUCAGCACUACA